rnacentral:rRNA from 1 species
GUGUCAGCCGCCGCGGUAAUACGUAGGGGGCGAGCGUUGUCCGGAAUUACUGGGCGUAAAGAGUUCGUAGGCGGUCUGAUAAGUCAGAUGUGAAAGGCGUAGGCUUAACCUAUGUAAGCAUAUGAAACUGUCAGACUUGAGGUAAGGAGAGGAAAGUGGAAUUCCUAGUGUAGCGGUGAAAUGCGUAGAUAUUAGGAGGAAUACCAGUGGCGAAGGCGACUUUCUGGACUUAAACUGACGCUGAGGAACGAAAGCGUGGGGAGCAAACAGGAUUAGAUACCCUGGUAGUCCACGCCGUAAACGAUGAGUGCUAGGUGUCGGGUAGAAAUAUUCGGUGCCGCAGCUAACGCAAUAAGCACUCCGCCUGGGGAGUACGUACGCAAGUAUGAA